rnacentral:lncRNA from 1 species
AGCCUUUCUCCAAUUUGAGUGUGUCAAAGUUCCUUAAGAGCCUCAAUGGGGCUCCGGGCAGUGCUUACACCCAAAUUGUAUUACCAGAAUAGGGAUAAGUGCAGUGUAGAAGGGCCAGCCCUCAAGUGUCCAAGUUCAUAGGGAGCUCAAUGGGUCCCAAGGAAAGGCUCAUAUGACGAGGGCAAAACUUAAGUCUAAGAGAGAGUGCAAGUGAAAAAACAGAGUUCUAAAGGAAUAAAGAAGAGGGAAACAUCCACAAACAAGUUGAUAAUUUCAUACAAAAGCGGUUCAGGGGGAUUGGGAAGUUGCACAGAGCCUAUGCUUAGGCAGGGGUAAGCUUUGGGCAUGCACAACAAUAGAAGAUGUUGGCCUGCCUAUAGCCCUACCAGAGCACACAAUAGCAGAGAAGUAUAGAGGUUAGGAUCCCAGAGAUCAAGCUUGAGUGAUGGGCAGUAAUAUUCAAUAUUUUCAUGCCUGAAACAAACCAUAACAUCGAACACGUUGGGGUGGGGGUUUAGAAUUCAUAAUAAAUUCAGAACAGGCAGAAGGAAAUAAUAGCUUACUAAAAUAAGUACUGAACUAAACACAAGCAGUAGGCAAACAAGAAGGCAAAAGCAUUAAAUAAACACAUUGUUGUGAUACUGGAAUCUUAAUCACGAUACACCAGUUCAGAGAAGCGAAAUACAGUAAAAGCAGGUAACAGCACUUUGAAGGCAAGCACGGUACAAGACAAGAAAGAAUAUUUUUUUGAGUAUGAGUGUGAGUUCAAACACUAAGAGUGUUCGUGUGCAUCUGUGUUAAUGAAAGAGCAGAGUAUUUAUAGUUUGAAAAUAGGUAGAAAAAAAAAGGCAUAAUUAUGGAAUGAUGUUUCAAUUAAAAUCAAAUCAGUAUAAGACUUCCUUUCAUUAAGGAGUUAAAAUUAAACGGUAAUGGGCAGAAAACAUUUAAGUAGCAAAAUCAAGUAGAGCAUCAUGUGCAGAAUAGACAAUUAGGGCUAAGUACAUAGAGGUUUAAUUAAGGUAAGAAUCUUUGAAAUACUCGGUUAACCAAAUAAGGGAAGAAAAUAAAGUAAAGUUGCACAAUGUGGAGACAAUCGAAAAUCUGUACCUAGCAAAUCAAGGAGUAAAGGAUUUCAAAAUCACUGACUUAAUUAGAAUGACAUGGGUUCCUAUGAAUAAACAAGUUGAGAAGGGAGAAUCGAAAAUUAAAAGGGAAGUUUUCAAAUCAAUCCAAGAAACAGAGAAUCAAUAAAACAAGGAAAGAAUCAAUUACAUGAGUGCAAUCAGAAUUACACAAGGAGGUUUGAAAUCAGCCCAAAAUUGAAGACCAUUUUAAAGGGAAAUUUAGCAUAUAAAAUAGUGCAUAAACAUUAGGCCUGCGAGGUUGAACUCAUGACAAAAAUAAACAUCAUGCAAUAGAAAACACAAUGUCAGUAGCUAAUGAACUAUUGAAACAUAGUAGUCACAUAGGUCAAUUUUACCAGCUCAGUAACAGAGAAAAGAGAGAUAUCGAAAGCAUGUAAAAGGUCAAGUACAAAGAAAUUUCUAAAAAAAUGUAGUCCAAUUUCAAUGAUAAAAAGAAGUCAAAGAACAUAAAGAAACAGGGGUUGGAACAAAAGAUUUCAAGAUUCAGUCGAGCAACAGAUGAAGCAACCUCAGACACUUGAAUAGGUCCAAAGUAAAUUAGGGUUUUGAAACCAAUCGAAUUCGUAGCAUGACGAACAAGUAAAUCACAUAGCAGAUAGUCUCAUAAAUUGAACAAAACCCCAAAAUUUAGGGUUUUUACUAUCAAUCGAGUAUAGAGAUGAAAAACAAUAAAAUCAGACAGAAAUACUAAAAAAAUAGAUUUAGAAAUUCCAAAAAGGUCAAGGACGUCAACAUGCAACUUAAGUAGAAGAAUGACAUAAGAAACCACAGUAGAACAUGCAGGAAAAUCAUAGAAAGCUAACAAAACCCUAAAUCGCAAAAAGAUAAGGGGUUUUAAAGGUAAAGUUUUAGAAGAAACUUCAGGAAAAACAUUUAGUUGUUUAGAGAAAACACGGAACUAAACAUGUAUAAAAAAUUAGAAGAACCUCAAAGGUUAGCAUUUUUGCAGAGACCCAGAUGGUGAGAAAGGCUUGGACAAUCAUCGAUCUAAGUAGGAAAAGUCAAGAGUCAAGCUUGAAUAGCCAUGGCUAACCAGAGCAAGGUCAAAGAUGACCGGAGACAGUCAUAAGAACUGAGAUCGACUGAGGUCUGGGUGAAUCUUCUUCAAGGGUUGGUCGGUAAACCAUAGUACUCGACAACAUAGAAGCCAAGGGAGGUAGAUACAGGCCUCUUAUCGCUGUGGAAACAAUUGAUUUGGACGAGUUUAGGGUGGAAGCUGAGGGAUGCGGCUAGGGUUUGAGAGGAGUUUGAGAGAGAAUUGGUAAAAU